rnacentral:tRNA from 1 species
UUAUUAAUAGUUAAAAUAUAACACUAAAAUGCAAUUUUAGAAUUGACUUAUCCAAUCUUGAUAAAUAAAGUGCCUGAUGAAAGGGUUAAAUU